CAGUUAGCAGCCACUCAGCACAUGUUGGCUGUGUCGCUGGGUGCUGUUCUCAGAGGUGCCACACGGUUGUUGGAGAUAAACGUCCUGAGAAUUACUUAUUACCUCCACCUGUAA